AAGGCGUGGCAUACGGCUCAGUAACACGUAGUCAACAUGCCCAAAGGACGCGGAUAACCUCGGGAAACUGAGGAUAAACCGCGAUAGGCCAGGGUUUCUGGAAUGAGCCACGGCCAAAAUCUAUAUGGCCCCUGGAUUGGACUGCGGCCGAUCAGGCUGUUGGUGAGGUAAUGGCCCACCAAACCUGUAACCGGUACGGGCUCUGAGAGGAGGAGCCCGGAGAUGGGCACUGAGACAAGGGCCCAGGCCCUAUGGGGCGCAGCAGGCGCGAAACCUCUGCAAUAGGCGAAAGCUUGACAGGGUUACUCUGAGUGAUUUCCGUUAAGGAGAUCUUUUGGCACCUCUAAAAAUGGUGCAGAAUAAGGGGUGGGCAAGUCUGGUGUCAGCCGCCGCGGUAAUACCAGCACCCCGAGUGGUCGGGACGUUUAUUGGGCCUAAAGCAUCCGUAGCCGGUUCUACAAGUCUUCCGUUAAAUCCACCUGCUUAACAGAUGGGCUGCGGAAGAUACUAUAGAGCUAGGAGGCGGGAGAGGCAAGCGGUACUCGAUGGGUAGGGGUAAAAUCCGUUGAUCCAUUGAAGACCACCAGUGGCGAAGGCGGCUUGCCAGAACGCGCUCGACGGUGAGGGAUGAAAGCUGGGGGAGCAAACCGGAUUAGAUACCCGGGUAGUCCCAGCUGUAAACGAUGCAGACUCGGUGAUGAGUUGGCUUAUUGCUAACUCAGUGCCGCAGGGAAGCCGUUAAGUUUGCCGCCUGGGGAGUACGGUCGCAAGACUGAAACUUAAAGGAA
rnacentral:rRNA from 1 species